UACGUAGGUGGCAAGCGUUGUCCGGAUUUACUGGGCGUAAAGGGCUUGUAGGCGGUUCGUUAAGUCCGGUGUGAAAUCUCCCGGCUCAACUGGGAGUGGUCACUGGAUACUGGCGAACUAGAGGGGGGUAGAGGAGAGCAGAAUUCCUGGUGUAGCGGUGAAAUGCGUAGAUAUCAGGAGGAAUACCAGUGGCGAAGGCGGCUCUCUGGGCCUACCCUGACGCUGAGGAGCGAAAGCGUGGGGAGCAAACCGG
rnacentral:rRNA from 1 species